rnacentral:rRNA from 1 species
UACGUAGGGUGCAAGCGUUGUCCGGAUUUAUUGGGCGUAAAGAGCUCGUAGGCGGUCUGUCGCGUCGGAUGUGAAAACCCAGGGCUCAACCCUGGGCCUGCAUUCGAUACGGGCAGACUAGAGUACGGCAGGGGAGACUGGAAUUCCUGGUGUAGCGGUGGAAUGCGCAGAUAUCAGGAGGAACACCGGUGGCGAAGGCGGGUCUCUGGGCCGUAACUGACGCUGAGGAGCGAAAGCGUGGGGAGCGAACAGG